rnacentral:rRNA from 1 species
GAUGAACGCUGGCGGCGUGCUUAACACAUGCAAGUCGAACGGAAAGGCUCCUGCUUGCAGGGGUACUCGAGUGGCGAACGGGUGAGUAACACGUGGGUGAUCUGCCCUGCACUUCGGGAUAAGCCUGGGAAACUGGGUCUAAUACCGGAUAGGACCACAUUUUGGAUGGUGUGGUGGAAAGUUUUUCGGUGUGGGAUGAGCUCGCGGCCUAUCAGCUUGUUGGUGGGGUAAUGGCCUACCAAGGCGUCGACGGGUAGCCGGCCUGAGAGGGUGUACGGCCACAUUGGGACUGAGAUACGGCCCAGAUUCCUACGGGAGGCAGCAGUGGGGAAUAUUGCACAAUGGGCGCAAGCCUGAUGCAGCGACGCCGCGUGGGGGAUGACGGCCUUCGGGUUGUAAACUCCUUUCGCUAGGGACGAAGCGUUUUUGUGACGGUACCUGGAGAAGAAGCACCGGCUAACUACGUG